ensembl:ncRNA lncRNA:CR43404 long non-coding RNA:CR43404
AUUACUUUGUAAUUUUAAAUUCCCAUAUCUUAUAAGUCGAAGAACUUGAUUCCAUGGCAGCGUGAUUUUCAACGGCUGACGGAGCUGGGCGAGUGAAAGUGGGAAAAGCGAUGCGGAACGAAAUGCAAAUCAAGCGAUGCCUGCACCAAAACGACACACAAACAAAUCGCCAACUGCCGCAGUGCCAGCCGCCGGCUGUCCGCAUUUCGAAUGCCACAGAGUUGCAACAAUUCCAAUUCAAUUUGUCCCCCGGGAGGUGCACGGUGUAACUGAUGUGGGGACUGGAGAUGUAAGCUGGAGCAGCGGAUCUGAUGGCACUGCCUUUGACAAGUCGCUCCGCCAGCGUCACGUAAAAAGCCCCCCAAUGCAGCUCCGUUGUCCGAUCCUGGCUUCCUUGUUGCCGCCUGACACGUGUGCAACAUGCAGCUCAUGACAGACAACUUUGUUGCUACCACAGCUCAUGCUUGCUAGGUAUGUGGGGUAUAUUAGACGCAAAUCCAAAAGGGUUGGGGUAAUAAGUAAGUGGCACUUCAUACUAUUAAUUUCCCAUGAAAUGUAUGUAAAAUCUAUAUUUAAUUCGAAUAAAUAUUAAGGAACGAG